rfam:Gossypium raimondii Chr02_contig_719, whole genome shotgun sequence.
AAGAGCGCAGUACAACGGAGAGGCGUAUGCUGCGUUCGGGAAGGAUGAGUUGCUCCCAAAAAGGAAUCUACUGAUUCUUUCCCAAUUGGUUGAACCAUAGGUGUGAUGGUUUACUUCAC